rnacentral:rRNA from 1 species
CCUACGGUUGGCAGCAGUGAGGAAUAUUGGUCAAUGGGCGGAAGUCUGAACCAGCCAUGCCGCGUGCAGGAAGACGGCUCUAUGAGUUGUAAACUGCUUUUGUACGAGGGUAAACCUGGAUACGUGUCUUCAGCUGAAAGUACUGUAAGAAUAAGGAUCGGCUAACUCCGUGCCAGCAGCCGCGGUAAUACGGAGGAUCCAAGCGUUAUCCGGAUUUAUUGGGUUUAAAGGGUGCGUAGGCGGAUUGAUAAGUUAGAGGUGAAAUGUCCGGGCUUAACUCGGGAACUGCCUCUAAUACUGUUGAUCUAGAGUUGAGAUGCGGUAGGCGGAAUGUAUGGUGUAGCGGUGAAAUGCUUAGAGAUCAGACAGAACACCGAUUGCGAAGGCAGCUUACCAAGCUAUAUCUGACGUUGAGGCACGAAAGCGUGGGGAGCAAACAGGAUUAGAUACCCGAGUAGUC